rnacentral:rRNA from 1 species
UGCCUAUCAGAGGGGAACAACAGUUAGAAAUGACUGCUAAUACCGCAUAUGCCUUAGAAUCACAUGGUUCAAAAGGGAAAGGAGCAAUCCGCUGAUAGAUGGGCUUGCGUCUGAUUAGCUAGUUGGUGGGGUAACGGCCUACCAAGGCGACGAUCAGUAGCCGAACUGAGAGGUUGAACGGCCACAUUGGGACUGAGAUACGGCCCAGACUCCUACGGGAGGCAGCAGUCGGGAAUAUUGCGCAAUGGAGGAAACUCUGACGCAGUGACGCCGCGUGCAGGAAGAAGGUUUUCGGAUUGUAAACUGCUUUAGACAGGGAAGAACAAAGACAGUACCUGUAGAAUAAGCUCCGGCUAACUACGUGCCAGCAGCCGCGGUAAUACGUAGGGAGCGAGCGUUAUCCGGAUUUAUUGGGUGUAAAGGGUGCGUAGACGGGAAGUCAAGUUAGUUGUGAAAUCCCUCGGCUUAACUGAGGAACUGCAACUAAAACUGAUUUUCUUGAGUACUGGAGAGGAAAGUGGAAUUCCUAGUGUAGCGGUGAAAUGCGUAGAUAUUAGGAGGAACACCGGUGGCGAAGGCGACUUUCUGGACAGAAACUGACGUUGAGGCACGAAAGUGUGGGGAGCAAACAGGAUUAGAUACCCUGGUAGUCCACACCGUAAACGAUGGAUACUAGGUGUAGGGGAUAUUAAAAUUCUCUGUGCCGCCG